rnacentral:rRNA from 1 species
UUUGCCUACGGGGGGCAGCAGUGAGGAAUAUUGGUCAAUGGGCGGGAGCCUGAACCAGCCAAGCCGCGUGAGGGAAGACGGUCCUAUGGAUUGUAAACCUCUUUAGGCGGGGAGCAAUGCCGGGCACGCGUGCCCGGAGGGAGAGUACCCGCAGAAUAAGCAUCGGCUAACUCCGUGCCAGCAGCCGCGGUAAUACGGAGGAUGCGAGCGUUAUCCGGCUUUAUUGGGUUUAACGGUUGCGUAGGCGGAUUUUUAAGUCCGCGGUAAAAUGUCCUGGCUCAACCCGGGCCGGCCGUUGCAACUGG